rnacentral:rRNA from 1 species
GGUGAACGCUGGCGGUAGACCUAACACAUGCAAGUCGAACGGCAGCACAGUAAGAGCUUGCUCUUACGGGUGGCGAGUGGCGGACGGGUGAGGAAUACAUCGGAAUCUACUUUUUCGUCGGGGAUAACGUAGGGAAACUUACGCUAAUACCGCAUACGACCUACGGGUGAAAGCAGGGGAUCUUCGGACCUUGCGCGAUUGAAUGAGCCGAUGUCGGAUUAGCUAGUUGGCGGGGUAAAGGCCCACCAAGGCGACGAUCCGUAGCUGGUCUGAGAGGAUGAUCAGCCACACUGGAACUGAGACACGGUCCAGACUCCUACGGGAGGCAGCAGUGGGGAAUAUUGGACAAUGGGCGCAAGCCUGAUCCAGCCAUACCGCGUGGGUGAAGAAGGCCUUCGGGUUGUAAAGCCCUUUUGUUGGGAAAGAAAAGCAGCAGGUUAAUACCCCGCUGUUCUGACGGUACCCAAAGAAUAAGCACCGGCUAACUUCGUG